CUGAGGACGCGGCUAGGGAUGCCGUCUGGGCCGGCAGCCUUGCGAGGGUUAACACACUUAAACGUCUUACUCACGUCGGCCACGGAGCAGGAGAGCCCACAGUCCUUAGUAGCGGGCUGCGUCGGUGGCACUGUGCUAUCCUCAAAGCGGGCGAAGAAGGUGUUUAGCUUGUCUGGAAGCAAGACAUCGGUGUCUGCGACGUGGCUGGUUUUCCUUUUGUAGCCCGUGAUUCUCUGUAGACAGUGCCACAUACGUCUCGUGUCUGAGCCGUUGAAUUGCGACUCCACUUUGUCUCCAUACUGACGUUUUGCCUGUUUGAUUGCCUUGCGGAGGGAAUAACUAAAAUGUUUGUAUUCUGCCAUAUUUUGAGUCACCUUGCUAUGGUUAAAUGUGGUGGUUCGCGCUUUCAGUUUUGAGCGAAUGCUGACAUCUAUCCACGGUUUAUGGUUAAGUGUGGUCUACGGUGUUGCCAGGGAACAAACAGCACCCUUUUCGAAGAAGUAGGAGGUGAAGAUCUCCCACACAAAGAUUGCCUCCCGUGCUGCGUUGUUGGCCCCCACCCUGGAAACAUCAUGCAGAGCAGCAGACCUCUCCUCUGGCACACGGCGGCAAGCCGCAGAUCCCCUCCUGGUCCUCGUGUCCAUCCUCAUGAAGUUAUGCAGGACACAGGUAGCUUUCACACGCCUGAAUCCCACAGGAGGCAGUCCCAGAUCGGCCUUGGAACCCAACCUUGCAGUGCCCUACACAGUAACUGUAGGCAAUCAUUUUGAAGGAAUCUCCAGUUGCAAGGUAUCUGUAGGAAUAUGGAAGAUAAUGUAAUUAUUAGACUUUUACAUCACCAGGUCAUUGUGGACUACUAAAGUAUAUGAUAACAUUGAAUAGAUAGAUGCAUGUGCACACACAUGUGCAUGUGUAGCAAGUGACAACAACAGGAUCAUAUCAAGGAUAGCACUACAAAUUAAUACGUAAAUACCACUUGAAGCUUGAUGAGUUGAUCAUUUGAAUUAACUGUGUAGUGCUGAGGCAAAAAACUAAAAUAUGCACCACUUUGACUCCCGAGGACCAGCACGAAGAACCGCUGCUUUUAAUUGAGACCUCUUCAUCUGCAGACAGGCUUUCACAUCUCUCUGUAUCUGAGGACAGAAAACAUCACAAUGUUAGGGUUGAACUGGCUAUUUGUAUGCAUAACCUUUAUAAUAUACCGGGGAAGCUAUGCUACAAUAUUAAGUACAUAAGCUACGGAUAAAUCAACUGCUGAAGACAGGAAGUGCGUCACUAGGCUGGGACCAGCCUGCAUGCCGACGUUAGGAGGAGCAAGUUUAAACCACGCUCCUCCUCCCUCUGACAGGCCAGCAUUGAGCGGGAACUAUCUCUGUCAGAGUAUAAAAGCGAGAACAAUAAGAUGUGUCGCUCUCUUCUCUGUUUGCCCUGCGAGGUAUAACAGCGAGACCGUAUAUAUAUAUACACGAACCACCCAUUUACCACACACGUGUUUGCAUUAAAGUACAAAUAAAUCAGAA